GAUUAACGCUGGCGGUAUGCCUAACACAUGCAAGUCGAACGAGAUCUUCGGAUCUAGUGGCGGACGGGUGAGUAACACGUUGGAACCUGCCCCGAAGUGGGGAAUAACUGGCCGAAAGGUCGGCUAAUACCCCAUAGUCUUAUACUCGUUAUAAGUAAAGUUUUUCGCUUCGGGAGGGGCCUGCGUAGCAUUAGCUUGUUGGUGAGGUAAAAGCUCACCAAGGCAACGAUGCUUAGCUGGAUCGAGAGGUUGACCAGCCACACUGGGACUGAGAUAC
rnacentral:rRNA from 1 species